UUCAUUUGGUUUGCGUUUGCGCUUCGUCGCUGGAACUCAGAGCUGGUGGAACGCUGGCUUUCGCGGCCUGCGAAACACUGCGACAGUUGGUGGAUGACUUUGACAAACGCCGGCGUCCGUGGCGUCCCACGAGGACGCUGCACUGACUGGGACUGCGACUUGACUAUGAAUUAAUGAGUUCGUUACUGACCACGACGAUAAUGGCUGUGCAACGAGGGUGCAGUGCUGCUGCUGCCAUCAUUACCGGUCGAAGCACGCAGCGUUAAGCGAAAUAGGGAACUCACAUAAAGUGCGAGUGUGUGAUCCACGUCAAGAGGAGACUCAAUCGCCCGCCCCCUGUGUCGAUGAAUAUGGGAAUUUUCAAGCGGCAAGCACAGGCAAGGUUAAGUUCCCAGGUGAACAGCGAUGUGCCAUCAGCGUCGAGGUUGACCAGGGUGGACGGCAUCAAACCAUCAGCAUUGACACAGACUGGGGUGAAGAGGUAGCUGGUAAAGGAGUCAUUCAACCCGGAUGGGCAAUUGUCACCUAGACCUGCCGUUUUCUUUACGGAACCUGAGAAAUGGCUUUAUGGUGGCACCCAAGGGAAACGCAUACCACUUCACCAUGCUUGUACUUUGGAAAAGGCCGUCGUCCUGUGCGACAUUAAGGACUGGUCCUACCCACUUGCAAAGAGCAAGACGCUGCUGCUGAUGCAACAAGUAGUCGUGAAUGACGACGUUCAAAAGGCAUGCAUGAAUGGAAAAUUGAAGGACCUUCUGAAGGCGGCUCGAGAAGAAGGACAUAAUUUUAGUUUACAAUAUUUACACCAAAGCCAAGGGGAAGAUAAGUGCCGUUUUGUUUUUCGUUCACAUGUACUGUACUCGAAAGAAUAAAAGCUUCUGUCGCACAGGUUGUGAAGAGAGGGAAGUCCAAGAUCCAGUGGCAGCAGAGAGGGAUACAAAACCUCAAGAAUGGUGCCAUCGAUAUUCCGAGCAGCGGCUGCUCCCUCAAAGUUGGCCGUCGUGAUCAUAGGUAUAGUGCAUUGAAAGGUUCGUGGUGACAUGCUUAGAAAUUUACUUCAUCAUUUUGUUCAUGAAAAAAAGCUGGGCGUGCUAACAUUUGGGAAACUUAUUAACAUGUCACCACAAACCCCGAAGUGCAUUGCCUAUGAUC